rnacentral:rRNA from 1 species
UACGUAGGGGGCGAGCGUUGUCCGGAUUUAUUGGGCGUAAAGAGCGUGUAGGCGGCCAGGUAGGUCUGCUGUGAAAACUCGAGGCUCAACCUCGAGACGUCGGCGGAAACCAUCUGGCUAGAGUCCGGAAGAGGAGAGUGGAAUUCCUGGUGUAGCGGUGAAAUGCGCAGAUAUCUGGAGGAACACCGGUGGCGAAGGCGGCAUCCUGGACCGGUAUUGACGCUGAGGCGCGAAAGCUAGGGGAGCAAACGGG